GUGCAGAAAGUCAACUGACUCCUAAGGUAUCCUUUGAAUAAAGCAUACAUACUGCUGCUUAAAAAAAAAAUAAGUUGGCCGGGCAAGGUGGCUCACAUCUGUAAUCCCAGCACUUUGGGAAGCUGAGGUGGGUGGAUCAUGAGGUCGAGAGAUCGAGACCAUCCUGGCCAACAUGGUGAAACCCUGUCUCUACUAAAAAUACAAAAAUUAGUUGGGAGUGGUGAUGCGUGCCUGUAGUCCCCGCUACUCAGGAAGCUGAGGCAGGAGAGUCACUUGAACCCAGGAGGCGGAGGUUGCAGUGAACUGAGAUCGUGCCACUGCACUUCAGCCUGGGGACAGAGCAAGACUUCGUCAAAAAAAAAAAAAAAAGUUGCUGGAAACCAUUUAUCAUUGAUAUAAUGAAAUGAAAUUUUGGGUUAGAAAAGUGGGCUGGGGAUCCCUACUGGACGAAUGUGAGCAGAUCUGGUCUCUUGCCGAUUCUCAGAUGUGCACCUGGGUACCCAGGGAAAGAAAGCCGUGAAAAGGAGCUGGAAACUGGUCUUAAGAUGUUUAACCAAACUAAGAUUUGUGUAAGUGAACAGGGGUCAAAAAAGGUCUCCUUUUCUUGUUUUGUUUCACAGCGUGUAACUUAUGAGUGUGUGUCUGUGUGUUCUCUUAUUAACAUGUAAGACUUCUGUGCU
rnacentral:lncRNA from 1 species